AAAACCCCCUCACAGAUAAUGUGGUAUUGGUAGAAGUGAACGGUACUUACAUUACCUUGUCUCACUCUGCUGGAAUAAAUAGGCCAGAGAAGUGGACCCAUGGUAAUUGACUCCAGGAGUGUUUUUCAAUGCUAAACUAGUCUUUACCCAAGUCAGGUUCUGAGCUACUGGACCCCCAUUAAGUCCAAAACAAAGU
rnacentral:misc_RNA from 1 species